rnacentral:lncRNA from 1 species
GCAACUUGAGGACGAGGAUAAAGCUAUACUCUUGUUGUGUGCUCUACCGAAAUCUUUUGAAUCGUUCAAAGAUACCAUGCUCUAUGGCAAGGAAGGCACUGUUACCUUGGAAGAAGUUCAAGCGGCUUUGAGAACCAAGGAGUUGACCAAGUCCAAGGACUUGACUCAUGAAUACGGUGAUGGCCUAAGUGUCACAAGAGGGAAUGGUGGAGGUAGAGGUAACCGGAGAAAGAGUGGAAACAAGUCAAGGUUUGAAUGCUUUAACUGUCACAAGAUGGGUCACUUCAAGAAGGAUUGUCCGGAGGUUAAUGGUAACUCAGCACAAAUUGUCUCUGAGGGUUAUGAGGAUGCGGGUGCUCUGAUGGUGUGGUGUUGUUUGGAGGAUGAAGAAGGUGAUGUGUCUCACCUUGGGAUUGAUGCCUAGUGGAGCGGUGGUCGUCUGGAGAGACGUUAAACACUCAACAUCAGCCUGGAGAGGCGGUGGUAAGUGUAACACCCCGUUUUCCCAACGUGAAAAUUUCAUUUAUUUAAUCAGAGUAAUUCACACAAACGGAAUGCUACACUUCUUUUCUUAAAAUCAUAAACUGAAUAAAUAACUAUUUAUCCUUUAAAAUUCAAUAACUAAAAAGUCUUUAAUACUUCGCAGCGGACAUUAUUCAAUAAUCAAAACAGUCUUUGGCACAAGGCCUCAUCAUUAAUAUCUCAUACAAAUUUGAUCAACAUCUUAUUCAUGAAAAUUCUUUGAGCAAUACGUAAGGAAUAGAAAGACAACAUUAAAAUUCCUAUCCCGUUACGUAUUAGAGCACCUAAAGACACACAUGAGAGCUAAUCCACUCACAACAGCAACUUAAACUCGAUCACCUGCAAGUUACUCAUACGAAGAGCAACAUUUUCAAGUAGAAGGGGUGAGAUUUCACAAAACAAUAAUAUCAAGCAUAUAAUUCAAUAAUUAUAUUUAACAACACGAAUAACUUCAUCUAUUAGUAAUAAUAAUUCUUCACGUAUAAUUCUUAAUAGUCCAACCAAUUUCUAUUUAUCAUUUACUUCAUAUUCACCACAUUAUAACAUAAUCAUAUAACACGUAUUAACCAAAUCAUAACAACAUAGAUCAUCACAUCAUACUCAUAGUUCAUAUAUAACAUAACAACAUCUUAAUUAAUUCAUAUACAACAUAACAACAUCAUUAAUUCAUAAUAAUAAUUAUUCAUCAACCAUCUCAUUAUCAUUUCUUGAAUAAAAGACAACUUAUCAACUUAACAUAAACAUCAUCAAGUACAUUUAACAACUCAUAGAUAAUAUCAUGUAAUCAUCAUCUCCCUAUAAUAAUAAUCAUAUACGACCCAACAUAAUCAUCAUCUUAUAAUAUAUAACAACAACAUAUUUAUCAUUUUAUAUUAAUAUAACAACACGUACUAACACCAUAAUCAACAUCAUAAAUCUUCAACAUAAUCAUCUUAAACAAUAGCAUCUUUGAUAAACAAUUAUCAAGUAAUCACAACAUUCGAUCAUCAUCAAUAACAUAACAUAAUAUUCACUUAAUAAUAAUUAAUCAUAUAUGGAACAACAUAUUCAUCACUUAAUAAUAACAAUUAUAUACAUCAUCAUAAUAACUUAACAAUAUCAUAAUCAACAUCUUACACAACAUAGCAACAUAUCAAUAUCAUAACCAACAUCUUAAACAACAUAGCAACAUAACAAUAUCAUAAUCAUUAUCUUAAAUAACAUAGCAACGUAACAAUAUCAUAAUCAACAUGUUAAACAACAUAGAAAUAUCAUAAUCAAUAUCUUAAACAACAUAGCAACGUAACAAUAUCAUAAUCAACAUGUUAAAUAACAUAGCAACAUAACAAUAUCAUAAUCAACAUGUUAAAUAACAUAGCAACAUAACAAUAUCAUAAUCAUUAUCUUAAAUAACAUAGCAACGUAACAAUAUCAUAAUCAACAUGUUAAACAACAUAGCAACAUAACAAUAUCAUAUAAUUCACAUCAUAAACAUCGUAUAAUCUUCGUAUGUACUUCUUUAACAACAUAUAGGUAGAAGACAACUCGACAACUCAGAUGAUAAUUCAUCGACAACUUAACAACUCAUGGAUGAUAAUUCAUCAACAACGACCUUGACUCGACAAAUGCGACAAUGCAACUUAGACACUUAUAUGCAUGUGGUACCAAUCGUCAUCAUAAGUAUUAAUAUAUUUUCAUCGUGCGGAGGACAAAGCUCCUAAAACGUGCGGAGGACAAAGCUCCUAAUCGUGGUGAGGACAAAGCCCAAUGAAAUGUUAUGCAUGGACUCUUAACAACAAAACACCGUAAUCAUCGUAAUCAACAUAUUAUCAUGCAUCCAAUAAUUUGGAGCUAAACGUCAUCAACUUAUUCAUACUCUUGCAACUUAGUUAAAUAACAAUUGCAGCAUAAUUAAAUCACAUCAAGUUAAAUAACAAAUCAUUCUCGAAAGUUUCUUGAUCAUUCAACAAGAAUUCAAGUAGGUAUAAUUCAAUCCAUAAUUCACUUCUUAAUCAUUUAACAAUUCAUUUUAACAACAUCUUGAUCAUUCAAUAAUAUUUCGAGUAAUGCAUUUAAUCAUUAAAUCACAUUACAAACAACUUAGCAGUUCAUAACAACAACAGAAACAGCACAAGCAAUUCACAACAUAGCAAUAUUAAUAUGAAGUAUCAACAACUUAAACAUCAUACAUCUUCCACAUAAGUCAUAUAAAUAUUUCACAUAACCAACAAUAGCAACAUAGGCAACAUGUAAACAUCUCAAGAUAUAACAAUAUCAAAUGAUAAUCAACAACAACUCAUGCAACUUAGUUUAACAACAAUUGCAGCAUAAUCAAUUCAUAUCAAGCUUAAUAACAAUUCAUUUCAACAUCUUGAUCAUUCAAUAAUAUUUCAAGUAAUGCAUUUAAUCAUUAAUUCACAGUAUAUAAUAUUUUCUCAUUAAUCAUAUCAUCAAAGUAAAUCAUAUUCAUCACAACAACAAAAUAGCAUCAAUCAAUAAUGAUAAUCAUCAUAUAUAACAAUUACAAAUGCACGUCAUCAACAUCUCAAUCAUCAAACAUAAUUCAUGCAAUAUAUAUCUAAUUAUAUAACAUUAUAAAUAUCAUCAAAUCAUCUUAAUCAUUAUCUAAGGUCUAAGGACAGUUUCUACAUCUUUUUAACAAGUUUCCACCGUUUAUUCAUUAAUUCUACAAUUUUAACCUACUUUUCAAUUCCUCAAAAACUCAUCCUACAUCAUGUUAAACUUAACCAUUGAUUCACAUACUUAAUAGAAUUGCAAAGUUAGUCUCACCCUUACCUUGGAUUGAUCGACGAAGAACUAUACCGCUUUCUCUCCUUUAAAAGGACAUUAAACAUAAGAGGGAUUAUAGUCUUAAGAACACUUUUAAUUCCGAAGGGACAGAAAGGAGUAGAAAAAGAAGAAAGACUCGUCAACACAAGUCAAAAGAGGGAGAAGAGAAGAAAAGCACAGGAAGCAUCAACUGUGAAUUUCGGUGUGUAGAAUGCACUGUGUGAGUUCUCUAUUUAUAGAGAUAAUUUACAACUAAUAAGUGAGAAACUUUGGAAACAAGUAAUGCACCUAUUGUUGGAACAAAAUGUGUUUCACAAUGAACCUUAUUGAGUUUUGAUGAUAACAAGGUAUUAAAAAUUGUCAAUUGGUUAUUACUAAUUAUUGUUCAAGUGUACAGGACCAAAGGCUAGUCAAGUAAUUUCAACAGGUUCUGGAAGAACAAUGAAAAGCAAAAAGAAUUCCAAGCAUCUGAAGAAAACCGCUCCUGAAGUUCAAAGUGCUUCUGAAGUGAUGACGUCAUCAGAAGCAGAAGGUCAUCAGAAGCAAAGUUUUUCAUCAGAAGCUAUAUCAUCACCAGAAGCUACAUUUAAUCCAUAUAUUCAAACUGAAGAUCCAAAGUAGCUGUUUCUUAUUUCAACCUUAUCUAGAAGAACGAAGAAUUGAAAGGGAGGUAUCAACGGUCAUUUGGAUAGCUCUGAGCAUUUGUCCUACGUUAACAGAGUUGACAAAGUACAAGUGUACAACCACUACCUCCACUACUCUGUUUUGUCCACGCUACAAGACAAGACAACAGCUAUGCCUGCAGAAUAUGUGCCUUCAAGAUGGGAAUGAAUUUGAAGCUAAUUCUUCAAAGGACUACACCCAAAUCAGGCAAAGGAUUACUGGUGGAUGAUUAAAUGAUUUCAAACGACUCUUUAGACGUGCUGAUUAUCUCAACGUCUCUUUCACACCUCUAUAUAAAGGAGUGAAGACUUGAAGAUGAGAUAUAGAGAUAUACAAGUUAAAAAGCUCCAAAACUCUGUCAAAUUGAUUCUACAAAGCACACUGAAUUUAUGCACUGAUUUGAUACAUCUUAGAAAUUCAAAGUCUAGAGUCUUUAUUGUAUUGUAUUAAGAACACCACUGAUUGUAUAUCAAGUGUUCAAGUCAAACUCAAUUCUCUGUAUUUUUGUUUGAUUAGAAGUCUCUUGCCUGCGUGCUUGAGCAUUAGAAGUCUCUUGCUUAGUUCUUGAGCAUUGGAAGACUCUUGCGUGUGUGCGUGAGCAGUUUUGUGAAGUCUCAUACUUUGAUAGUAUUGAGCAUUUGUAAUCUUUGUGAUUAUAGUGAAAUCUCCUUGGAAGUGCAAGGGGGACUGGACUACUUCCGUGUUGUGAAAGGAACCAGGAUAACUGCUUGUGUCUUUGUCUUUCUUUUCUCUGCUCUGUUCUUUCCGCUGCAUAUCUGAUUCUGAUCAUUUCAUCAGAAGCACUCACAGUCUGCUUCUGAAGGUUUAUCAGAAGAAGAAUUUUUAGAGAGAAGAAGAAAACACAAUUCAACCCCCCCCCCCCCCCCCCCCUUCUUGUGUUUUUCUCACCUUCACCUAUUAGAUCUAGUAAUUAAAUAUAUCAAUUGAGUACCAAAAUAUAUUAUAUUAAGUACAAAAAUAUAUUAUUCAGUACAAAAAUAUAUUAGAUUGCCUACCAAAAUCUCAAUAUUCUAUUCUAAUAUAUAUAUAUAUAUAUAUAUAUAUAUUUAUAUAUAAAAUAUUUCUAUAACAAUAAUAAAUAACAAAUAUAUCUCUAUAAAAUAUAUAUAUUUUCAUAAUAAAUCAUUUAUAUUUUCUACAGCAAAUGACAUAUAUUUCUUCAGCAAAUCAUACAUAUAUUUCUAUAACAGAAUAUAUAUAUUUCUACAACGAAUCAUACAUAUUUCUAUAAUAAUUAACGUUUAUUUCUAUAACAAAUCACAUUUAUUUCUGCAACAAAUCAUAUAUAUUUUUAUAAUAAAUAACGUUUAUUUCUAUAACAAAUCAUAUUUAUUUCUGCAACAAAUCAUAUAUAUUUUUAUAAUAAAUAACGUUUAUUUCUAUAACAAAUCACAUUUAUUUCUAAAACAAAUCAUGUAUAUUUCUAUAACGAAUCAUAUAUAUUUCUGAACCGAAUAACAUAUAUACAUUUCUAAAUCAAAUAACAUAUAUUAUAUUUCUAAAUCAAAUAGCAUAUAUAUUUCUAAAUCAAAUAGCAUGUAUAUAUUUAUCUAAAUCAAAUAACAUAUAUAUUAUAUUAAUAAAUAUAUAACAUAUAUCAUAACAAAAUAUCACUCAUCAAAAUAAAUCAUAUAAAUCACACAAAUCAUAUAAGUAUAUUCUAAACUCAUUUAAAAUAAUCAAAUAAUUAGAGAGGGCGUUACAGUAAGAAUACUCAUGAUCUACCUGUUGAGGUGGAGUUUCAAGGUUGAAGACAUAGUGGGAUGUACGCAUUUGCUAGUUGAGGUAGAGUAUGCUCAGCGUGAGGUGGAGUUGAACUCACCGGUAAUGGUACGACUAUGAAGACCUUGGGUGCUAUGCUCUAUGGUGAGCAAGGGAUUUCUUCAUGAAGUUGGAGAAUGUGUAGCACGGCUUGCGAGAUUACUCUAAAAGAAUGCCAAGGGUGAUUGGAUGCAAGGUGAUCUUCAAGGAAGCGGAAGAUGUUAUGCGUUGAAGACGGUAUGGUGAAUGCUUGUGGGACUACCUAAAACUCCUAGUGUAGUUGGACUGCAAGGACCUUCGAGAAGGCGGAAGAUAUUCCGAUGGCUGAAGUGGUUGAGGUGUAUACUUGUGGAUUACUCUAAAAGCCAAGGGUGAUUGGGUACAAGUAGAUCUUCAAGGAAAGCGGGAGAUAUCUCGUAUUGAAGAGGUUAUGGUAUAAGUCUUGUAGAACUACCUGAAAUUCCUAGCGUAGUUGGACUACAAGCAUCUUCGAGAAGGCGGAAGACAUUCCGAUGGCUGAAGAGGUUGAGGGUGUAAACUUGUGGAGCUACUUGGAGUAGUGGGAAGCAAGGGUUUGAGCAGCAAGGAGGUUGAUGAUCGGCAUCAUCACUGAUUUGAAGUCAAGGUGGAGAAUUGUGAGAGUUAACUUAAAAUCAGGUUUCUGCACAAUCGUAGCACGACGGCUGGGCUUCGCGGCACGAUGGAGGUUUUAGUUUUUUGGGCAAGGCACUGGAAAAAUCGUGGCACGAUGGGGUCGCAUCGUGGCACGAUGGUGCGCUGGCGGAUAAAAAUAAAACAUAUUUUUGGGAGCAGAUUUGUUACAGUUUUUGUUACAAAUUUGUUACAAAUUUUAGGCAGAUUUGUUAUAGAUUUUAAGCAGGACUUUUACUAUAAAUAUAGACCUUGUAUCAAAGCAAACUGAAAGAGAGUAGAGAUUGAGAUAGAGAGAAACACUAUUAGGAUUGGAGUCUCUUGGUUACGGAAGAGAUUGGGACUUUGGGUAGAAUUAGGCGGGAGACUUAUUCUUGUAACCCAUUGAUUUUUCUUUGUAACGUUACUCAUCAAAUAGUGGAUCGGAGGGCUGCUCUCUCCCCCAGACUAGGUCAGAUUAGACCGAACUGGGUCAACAAAUUCUUUGUGUUCUUCUUCUUCUUUUGUUCUUCUCGCCGUUGUUUUCUACUUUUGGCUUGUAUUUAAUUGUUCCAUACGCUUUGAUUUUGGUUGCUUAAUUAUCCCUUGCUCCACACAUCAAGUUGUUAUUGGUGUGAUUUUGAUCGAAUUCACAACAAAAAGAAAAAGAAGAUGAAGGUAUAAAAGUGUAGGUGACAACAAAGAAAAAGACUUCAUUUGGUUUAGAAGAAAGUGUGUAUGGUUUAUGCUAUUUAGUUUUGUGGGAAUUGAGAGAAAGCAUAUGCAUUUAAAUACCG